GCAUCUUGGUUCUUAUUUUUUCCCCAUUCCUACCCCUCCCUUCACCCCCUCCACCCUUCCCUAUUUACAAAGACUUUAUUUCCAUUUUUUCCAUUUCUCAUCGUUUUUCCUUUCCCUUCUUUCCUUUCCCCUGUCUCUCCCACUACCCCUACCCCUUUGGACCUUUUCUUCCUAUUUUACAUUAUCGAUUAUUCAUUCUAAUCAUUGGUACAUUUUAGGUAUGCAACAUAAUGACAUUCAUCAUUGGAAAUUUGCACCUUUACAUAGCCUCUCUUGGUUCUUGUUUUUCACCCUUGCCCAGCCCUCCCUUCAACCCCUCCAUUCCUCCCUAUUUACAAAGAUUUUGUUCCUAUUUUUCCACUGUCUCAUAUUAAUCCCAUUCCCUUCUAUCCUUUCCCCUAGCCCUCCCACUUCCUUCCCCUCUGCCCCUUUUCUUCCUAUUUCACAUUACCUAUUAUACAUUUAGUCCUUAUUUACACUUUCAGUUUCUCACACCAGAGAAACUAUUCGGUAUUUACAUAUGUGUGUCCUAUUUAUUUCACUUAAGAGGAUGGCCUCAAUGUGCAUCCAUUUAGCUAUAAAUGUCUCUAAUUUCUCAUUCUUUAUGGCUGAGCAGUACUCCAUUUUAUAAAAAACCCACAUUUUCUUGAUCCAGUCUCCAGUUGAUGGGCAUUUGGGCUGUUUCCAAGUUUUAGCUAUCACAAACUGUGCUGCUAUGAACAUGGGCGCCCAUCUAUCACUGUGGUAUGAUCCCUUUAAUCCUUGGGGAAGAUCCCCAGCAGUGGAAUAUCCCCUGCUUUUAUUUCUGACCGUGACAUUUGUUUCACAGUAUUGGUGUAUGACUCAGGGUCGCCCUCUGGUGGUCACCCCUGAAGGUCACUCCCCUCACCUUCUGUGUUGGGGUGCGAAAAGCAGGUAAUAAUGGUCAUAUAUUACACAGCAUUGUGGGAUCUAGAAUAUCACUAUGUGCACCUUAAAAUGCGGAAACAGAGGCACAGAGUGACUUAGAGUCACACAACCACCAAGUGGCAAUGGCAGAAUUUGAGCUUGGGCAUUGCAGCUCCAGAGCAGGCUUGGACUGGCAUUACUCCCCACCAUCACCAUCAAACCAAAUCAAGAGGCCAGUACGGUGGGCUGUGGAGGUGAGAAAUAGCAUGAGGGUCUGGCAGGGGCUCCAUGAGGGAAGGGUCAGGGGCUCUCACCUUGGCAGGCUGGGCAGCAGUCUCCAGGCCUCAGAACUGGCUCGGGGCAGGGACUGGGUGGGCACUUCAUGGGCACACAGCGAACCAGGCUCCUCUGUAAUGCACCAAUAGCAGUAGCCACCCUCGGGUCUCCCAGCAGGUAUGGGGCGGGCAGGUGUCAGGCAGGGAUGGAGGGAGGGCCUCACUGGUACCAGCUCUCAAAAGGCAUAUUAUAAAUGGCUAAAAGAGUGGCUGGCAUGGCCCAGCCUGGGGCCUGGGCAGUGGUGGCAGAGGACUCACCAGGCAGGAGCACUGGAGACAAGGGUUGGAGAUGGACAGGAAGCUGGCCCCCUCUUCGUGAAGCCGCCCCUCAUACUCACAGCCUGGGGAGGGUUGCCAGGGUGAUAGGUGCGUCACUAGAGAGCAGGGGUGAGCAUCCCCAAGGGAUAGUACGACCCCAAGUGGGAACUGGACGCACUGGGGGUAGGGAGAAGGAGGGGUGGGCGGAGUGGGAGGUCACCUGGCCGGCAGAUGGGGCAGCACUCCCUGGGUGGGGUGUAGCUCUCCAGACAGUUGAGCUCAGAGCAUGAGGGCCCCUGGCACUGCACGGUCCCUGCCUGUGGGUCAAGACACUCAGCCCCGCCUCCUCCCUCCCCACUGCCCGAGCCAGAGGACUCUUCAGGCCUUUGGCCUAGCAGGCUCCAGGCCUCAACACCUGGGUGGAGGCAGAAGCCUGGCCUGGCCUCCAGAUUAGGAUGGGUAGGAUCAGGCCUGGGGCAGCAGGGAUGCAGGUGAUAGCCGGGGCGAGGCCCUGAUUCUCUUACCUGGCAGGUGCAAGUGACACAGGGCUCUGGAUGCCACGUUUCCCCUGACCUGUGGCCCUCAGGGCAGCCUGCAAAACCGGACUCAGAGGGCUGGGUGCCACAUCACAGGGCCACCAUUCAGGACCCAGCUAUCAGAGUUUUAUAUUUACUACACCUUUCCAGCAGGUGACAGUCAAGUGUCUAACUGAUGGAAACAAUGUAUUUAUUUAUUUAUUCUUAAUUUUUUGAGACAAGGUCUUGCUAAGUAGUUAAGGCUAUCCUUGAACUCACUAUGUAGCCCAGGCUGGCCUUAAACGUACAGGAAUCCUCCUGCCUUAGCCUCCAGAGUGCUGGGAUCAUGGGCAUGCAUCACCACACCUGGCUCCUCGAUGUAUUUAUUUUACAACAGAUUGGACUAAAGUGCCUUUAAAGGGGUGUCUUUCUUUUAAAUGAAAGGCCACCAUUACUCCAUGGAUCCAACCAGUCACCAAUCCCUGCACAUUCUUUAGAAACACUUUGUUAUUUGCAGCCUCCUACCAUCUCUGGCUCCAUGCCUAGACAAGGACUGUAAAAGCCCCCAACUGGUCUCUCUGCAUCCAGCCCACACCAGCUGAAUAUUCCUAAACAUUAUAUUUGAAUAUGUCACACUCUGGCUCUUCAGCCUUCAAAAGUUCCCUACUGCCCACAGAAGAAAGCCCAACUGCAGGGCUUAUCACAGCCUGUUUCCACUGGCCCUCCUGGACUGAUUCUUGGAAUACAUUUCUCCCUGCCUGGUUCCUAUUCAGAGGGACCUCAAGUUCUCCUUCUCCUGGAGAAAUCCCACCUUCCCUUGAAGAUCCAGUGCAAAUGACCCCUGGGCUACAAAGGCCUUCCUAACUGCCUACCUGCUCAGAUGGGUGUCCCCUGCCCUCCUGUUCCUUCCUCUGGGAAAGCAUGCACUGUCUUCUACAUCUCUCUUUUUUUUUUUUUUUUGGUACCGGGGAUUGAACUCGGGUCCUUGUGCUUGCGAGGCAGGCGACAGAACCACUGGGCUAAAUCCCUGGCCCAUGUCUUCUACAUCUCCUAAUCUGUUCAUUGGAUCUUAAAUCUUGUGAUAGAUUAGCUGUAAAUUUAUCUUCUCAACUAGACCAGAAGCUCCUCAGGGUCCUGAUAAUCUUUGAUGCAUCCCAGGGCAGCGUCAGCAUUUGCUGGCUCCAGCUCAGCUCAGCACUCACCAGGCACCAUCACAGGGUUUCUUCAGCUCUGCUCUCUCUCUCUGUCAGGUCCCCCAGGGCACAACCAGGAGGGAGGGCAGGGCCUGUAGCAUGCUGACCUGGUUCACAGUGUGGGCAGCAUGCUCCCAGCUCAGGGCAGGGUGCUCUUGGGCAUGGCUUCUGGGUACAGGUGAUGGCCCCUUCCUGUGGAAGCAGCUAGGGUGACUGCAGGGCCUUCCGAACUCCAGACUCACCCCAGGCAGGAAUGUGUCCAGAAGCAGAGGAUGAGCUGGCUCAGCAUACAUGCUACCCCAGCCCAAGGGCAGAAAAGAGAUGUCCCAUCCACCCCACCAUUCCUGAAGCCCUUGACCCCUUGGAACCCGCUUCUCCAGGUGCCAGCAACUUCCCCAGAGUGGAGAGAUCCUAGGAAGAGAACCCAGGGCUUUCUCAGUGGAGGAGUAGGAAAGAAAAGGCCAGGAGAAAAGGCCAUGGAGGAAGUGACAGAAAGCAGGCAGUGGAAAUGUGAGGUAGCAGAUGAGGUGGGGUGAGGGCAACAGCGCUCGUCACACAGGAGAGGGUUUGAGGAAAGAAGAUAGUAACUACAUCCUCUGGCCCCCAUGCCACUCUUUGUCAAGGCAAAAUCAAGGGGCUUGAGGCUUGGGGGGGGGUUGCACUUCAGACAGCAGACCCCCAGAGAAUCAGCCCAAGGCCACCAGGGGCAAGAACCCAUCACACAAUAUCCAGUCCCAGCACCUAGUGAUGGGGAGCUGGAGGGAGGGCGUGGGAACUCACCAGGCAGAGGCAGGAGGUGCAGGUGUCUGGGGAGAACGUCUCCCCAUUACCACAGACCUGACCAUUGUGGCUGCAGCCUGAGGAGGAGACAGUGUGGCACUCAGGCCCAACACCAUCUCCAGGCCCUGAAGUGGCUCAGUGGGUAGAUUGGGUGGCACUAACGUUGGCAGUGGGGCAGCUCGGGCCGAGGGCCACAGCGUGCUGCCCCGUCCUGGCAGAUGCAGGCUGUGCAGGCAUUGGGCUCCCAGCAAGACCCCUCAGGCCAGGCGCGCCCAAGCCCCCAGCACUGGACAGAGGCAGGGCGGCAUUCACAGGACUCCAGCCGCCUCACUCUGGCCUGCAGGUCCUCAUUCUGGGGAAGAGAUGGGACUACAGCUCAGCCUUUCCAUGUCUCAUGGAUUCAUGAGGUGCAAAAACGGAGUCAGGAUGAGAAUUUGACAACUCCACGGCAGAGGCCGGUCUCCUUCUGUCAGCAUCCGUCUCACAUGGUUCUCAGGGAGCACAGGUCCAUCCUUGGGCAGAAAGGGCAGCAGUCCCCACCCUCACCCCGUGCCUGGCAGGUGCUUCAUUAUGAAGGGCACGGAAAUCCACACACCACAAAUACUCUGGAGAUUCUUCACUCAUGAGAGAAUGGAUGUUAAAGACUGUUCAGAUGAGAUCUUCUCUGUGUGCUUUUGAAGUGAAACUAUUUUAGGGUCCCCAGGGACCCCCAACCCUCUCUUCUCCUCCCAGUAUGCAAAAGUCCACCCCACCCCAAACAUGCAGCCCUGCCUCUAUGGUACCUGCUCUCUGAGCUUGGGCACCUCAGCCUCCAGCCACCCCAGCCGUUCCUCCAAGGGGUGCCACUGUUUCUGGGGGCUCCCAACAGGGAGUGGGCAGGUGACUGAGGAGUGGGCAGGUGCCUGCUGCUGGUAGCCAUGGAUAUCAGCAAGCCUGGGAGUCUCCCUGAGGAUAGCUUCACCUGAAGGGCACAAGAAUCCACCGGAGGUCGAGUGCUGCUUCUGUCCUCUAAACGCAGGGGAGGGUCACUUUGUACCCCACCACCCAGGCAAGGAGACAUGGUCUGUUUUGUUUUGUUUUUUCCUUUUUCCUUUGGUUUUUUUGAGACAGGGGCUCAUUAUGCAGUUCAGGCUGACCUUGAACUCACUAUGUAACCUAGGCUGGCCUCGAACUUGAAGUGAUCCUCCUGCCUCAGCCUCCUAAGUACUGGGAUAACAGGUAUGCGCCACCACACCCAGCUUUAUUUUAUUUUUCAUACAGGCUGUCCUUGAAUUCACCAUGUAGUCCAGGCUGGCCUCAAACUCAAGGCAACCCUCCUGCCUCAGCCUCUUUAGUGCUGGGAUUACAGGCGUGCUCCACCACACCGGGCUAGGUCUGUGAGAGUUGAAAGCUGGGGCAGGACAUGUAAGAAGUAAGGAAACCUGGAGGAGACAAAAGUGGUCCAGACCAGUUUUCUCUUCUUGUCCUCGUGACCCCCAGGGACACUGACCCGCAGGGAGUUACAGAGCAGUACCAGACCAGGGCCUCCCUGCAGCCUGG
ensembl:lncRNA